GUGUCAGCCGCCGCGGUAAUACCAGCUCUCCGAGUGGUAGGGAUGAUUAUUGGGCUUAAAGCGUGCGUAGCCGGCUUGACAAGUCUUCUGUUAAAUCCAGCAACCCAAUUGUUGGACUGCGGGAGAUACUGUCUAGCUAGAGAACGGGAGAAGCCGACGGUACUCUCAGGGUAGGAGUGAAAUCCUAUAAUCCUGGGAGGACCACCAGUGGCGUAGGCUGUCGGCUAGAACGUGUCUGACGGUGAGGAACGAAAGCUUGGGGAGCGAACCGGAUUAGAUACCCGGGUAGUCCAAGCUGUAAACGAUGCGGGCUAGGUGUUGGGGUGGCUACGUGCCACUUCAGUGCCGCAGGGAAACCGUUAAGCCCGCCGCCUGGGGAGUACGGUCGCAAGGCUGAAACUCAAAUGAAUUGACGGGG
rnacentral:rRNA from 1 species